UCACAGCAGCUGAGAAUCAUCAAGGCACUGAUCUGUUCCAGCCUCUACCAACUCCAGUGUAAUCCUCUCACCUCUAGCCCACCAAAGAAUAUUGAGUGAGCCUCUCAAGGGCUGCUCCAGAAGUUAAACAGUGGGAUGAUUUUCACUCAGAAGAACUAUACAGCUGCUUUUUAAUCACUUUAAACCAGCAUAGCUGGUGCCAACUGGGAACCACACAAAGGUCAACUCUCCCAUCAGCACAAAAGGUGUAGAAGAUUGGAAUUUGGCCCUCAGCCAUCAGCAAGCAGAUGCCAUCUGUGAUCUCAGUAAGCGGAUGUGGAAGACAACCUGAGACCUGCAUCAGAGAGAUCAACUUGCGGCUUUGGGACUGGUGUCUCGAGGCAGGCUUCGGCUUCCUAGACAACGACCCGCACAUCAGGAGGAGAGAGAUGCUCAGGUGGGAUGGGCUUCACCUUUCCCCCAAAGCUAAGCGUGUGUUUUCUUCUAGGUUAGCUGAUCUCCUCCAGCAGGCUUUAAACUAGGCUCAUCAGGGGAAGGGGAAGACAAGGGCAGAGGAAGCCUUGGGCCACUAAACCAAGCGUCACCCACAAGAAUAGCCCAGCCUAGACUGAUGAUGAGCAGAACAAAUACCCAGACCGAUGAUCAAAGUUACAAUCGGUGAUCUGUGAACCACAUGCAAAGGCCAUCAAGAGAAGAUGCUAGCCAAAAUGAGGAUGAAAAAUCAUCUCUUCAACUCCUGCCAUCUGGAACAGCCUUUCUUUGUCAGUCUGCCUCAUCAACUCAGGCAUUUUUCAACUCAACAGAAAAUGUAUCUUUUCCCUGUUCUCUUCAUCAUAGUUUUCUUCUUCUCCUAACUAUAGUAUAUAAUUGUGUCAAUAUAAUAGGUCAAAUUCUAUUAUGAGUUACACCAAAGCAAAAAUGUGAAUUACACAGGUGUACUUCAGACCAGAAUUUGGCCCAAAGUACAAUUACCAAUUUAUUUGUAAUUAUCAUUUAUUACACUGUUUUCCAGUGUCAAAGAUGCAUUUUUCCUCUGAAAAAGGAGGUCUAAAAGUAAGGUGCAAAGGCUUACCAACCAGGGUCUGUGGCCUGGGAGGCUGUGACAGCAGCAGGAGCCAGGUUGGUCUCCCAGUACUUAUUAUGUUACUGGUAAGGCACAUCUUAUACACUAGGGGUAUCCACUGGUAGUCUGUGGGCUGCUUGCAGCCUGCAAAAAAUUAAUUUGCCUUCUUACCCACCCCCAGCUCCCACCCAGCCACGAUUUCCCAUAUUGCUCCAGGUGCUGCACCAGCUGGGGUCUCCAGGCUCCCCCUCUGUCCCCUGAUUCCCACUUCCUGCCCCACUCUAGGGGCAGGUCAGAGUGAUACAGCACAGACUGAAGUGCUGGGGGAGCCCAGGUCUUGGGGUGCCUGUGUGGUGCUGUGCAGUUGGAGAACCCAUGGCUGUGGAGCAGAAGGUGAAACCAGAUGCAUAGUGCAGUGCUGUUAGGGGAGGGGGACAUCCACAGAGGUUGUGUAAUCUCCAUCCUUGGAGGUUUUUAAGGUCCACCUGGACAAAGCCUUGUCUGGGAUGUUCUAGUUGGGAAUGGUUCUGCUUUGAGCAGGGGGGUGGACUAGAUGACCUCCUGAGGUCCCUUCCAGCCCUAAUUUUGUAUGAUUUUAUUACAGCUUAUCUGGUUAAAGAGUUCUAUGAUGUAAGUGCUUUCCUGAGUUUAAACUGUAAUACUUCUUUUUUUUCUAUUGUAUAUUGCUGUAUUUACAAUGGCUGCCACCUUGCCCAAUAUUGGGGACCAAACUAGAAAGCUCCAGAGUUAAAAAGAUUGGGACUUAACAUCUAGAACUAAGGAGUCAGGUUCCACAUCUGGUGGUUAUAAUAGAUUUGAAUCCUCUAUACAUUAGGCAAAGAAGGAUACAUGACAUACACAGACCAGUGGGCUAAUGACAGAAAAUAGAAGUAGUUGGAAAAUGUAAGGUAUGAGGAGAAUUCUAUGGAAGAAAAAAAUCAUUAAAGAUAAAAACUAUUGUUGUGGUUAAAUAUCCGAUUGAAAAUUUAAUGUUUUUCCCUAAAAAAGGAAAAAUGCAAGUGUUUCAGCUAUAAAGUUUGGAAAGCAGGUAGUUGAAACCCAAUUUAUUUACAACAGCCAUUUGUUAUCAAAAGUUAUUUUGGAAAAAUUUGAAAAUGUAUGUAGUUAACUAUCAGCUUCUGAAAGUUUUACAAUGAGCUGGGCAAAUUCUUAGCCUGGACCCUGGAAUAAACUGAUUUGUAGAACUGAAGAUUUUUAAGGCGGAAGAAACUGUAAUGAUGUAGUCUGCCAGAAUAAUAUGGGCCAUUGACUCUCAACCAGUAAUUUCUGCAUCAAACCUAUUCCUUCUGUUAUAACUAUUGCAAAGCUUUGACAAAGUUAUUUAGUUUUGGGUGAAGGACUUCAAGUGAUAAGAAAACCCACUGCAUUCCUGGAAAGUUGCUCUAAUGGCUUAUUGUCUGCACUUUGCAAAGUCUAUGAUUUAUUUCUAGUCUGCCAUUAUGUAACAUCUAACUAAUACAGGUUUUUAAAUUAAUCUAAGUACAUUCUGGGACAGAACUUUGGGUUUUUAAUGAGUACUAGGUAGGUAUCCAUGUUCCCGCCAUAUAUCUCACUAACAACUCUGAUAUUAAAUGUUCACCUUCCCUGUAAGGCAACAAGUUUGUAAAAUUUGACACAUAAUUUAAUAAAGUCACAAGGAAUGGUCUGUUUACUUAUUUGCCCAAGCCCUCUUCUAAAGAAAAAAGGGCAUAGUCAUAGUAUUUUUCAUAAUUUUAAGAUUGUAACAUUUGGUCUGAAAAGAGGCACAUGCACAGAAUUCCAUGGAUCAGUUUCUAAUGAGAAAAGCUGAAGCAGGGCAAUAUUUUGGAUCGGAAGACCUUGAACAAAUUCUUGUAGGAAGUCACCCAAGUUCAGAUUCUAGGUAGCAUUAUGAAUAGUCAUUGGAAAGCAACACAUAGAGGGAAAGAGUCUCUAUAGGUACUAUAAACUGAAUAGUUUUGGCCAAGUCCUGUAUUGUUCUUUUGAUAGCUCUUCUUGAGAACAUCCUGUGCAAGAAAAUAAAGGACUUACUUGGGAUGCAGCCCAGUCACAUUAUCUGAACUAGAAUCAUAUAUCACAAAAUGUUGAGUGGGUUCAGAUGUUUUGUUGUGAAAGUAUUGGUGAGACCCUUUAUACUGUUAUUGCCAAUGUCAUAUCUGUUCUGUGAUUAGGGAGCUUCAGCCUUCAGUUCUGUCAAUCACUCAAGAGGGAAGAAAAGCUUCAUGAAAGGCAAAAAAGUGAAGAGCAUGUCACAAAGAGCUAAUAACAGGAGUCAAUAAUGCCAGAGAAAAAAAAAUACAACUCUGCUGGAACAGGCAUUAAAUAUUCUCAAGACACCCUUAUAGCUGGGUAGGAUGUGGUUCCUUAUG